AAAUUGAAGAGUUUGAUCAUGGCUCAGAUUGAACGCUGGCGGCAGGCCUAACACAUGCAAGUCGAACGGUAACAGGAAACAGCUUGCUGUUUCGCUGACGAGUGGCGGACGGGUGAGUAAUGUCUGGGAAACUGCCUGAUGGAGGGGGAUAACUACUGGAAACGGUAGCUAAUACCGCAUAAUGUCGCAAGACUAAAGAGGGGGACCUUCGGGCCUCUUGCCAUCGGAUGUGCCCAGAUGGGAUUAGCUAGUAGGUGGGGUAACGGCUCACCUAGGCGACGAUCCCUAGCUGGUCUGAGAGGAUGACCAGCCACACUGGAACUGAGACACGGUCCAGACUCCUACGGGAGGCAGCAGUGGGGAAUAUUGCACAAUGGGCGCAAGCCUGAUGCAGCCAUGCCGCGUGUAUGAAGAAGGCCUUCGGGUUGUAAAGUACUUUCAGCGGGGAGGAAGGGAGUAAAGUU
rnacentral:rRNA from 1 species